AACCUCACAGGAGAGUUCUACCUUGAACCAGUCACGUCUGGGAAUUAUUUUGGGAAGGUCAAAGGCUCAUUGGACUUAAAAAAGUUUCACCUCUGGCUGGAGAAGUCCAACAUUGGAGAUGUCAAGGCACCCCAUUUGGAGAACCUGCUGAAACUGGCUGGGCCCUUGGCAUUGCUGAGAGCCAACAGUGAGUUUGGAACAAUUGUGUUAAGCCUGUUCAUUCCCCCAUUUUCCCUUCCGGCGAGUGGAU